GCUCCCAAUAGCGUAUAUUAAAGUUGUUGCCAGUAAAAAAGCUCGUAGUUGAAUUUUGGGGCUGGGUGAGUUGGUUUGUCCGCAAGGGCAGUACUGNUCUGCCCUGGCUCCAUACUGGGCCUGGGGAACUUGUGUGUUCUUAACUGAGUGCGCUUGGGAUCCAGGACGUUUACUUUGAAAAAAUUAGAGUGUUUAAAGCAGGCCUUUGCUUGAAUACCAUUAGCAUGGAAUAAUAGAAUAGGACUCGUGUUUUAUUUUGUUGGUUUCUAGGACAUGGGUAAUGAUUAAUAGGGACAGUUGGGGGCAUUGGUAUUGAGGAGACAGAGGUGAAAUUCUUGGACCUCCGCAAGACCAACUUCUGCGAAAGCAUUUGUCAAGGAUGUUUUCAUUAAUCAAGAACGAAAGUUAGGGGAUCGAAGACGAUUAGAUACCGUCGUAGUCUUAACCAUAAACUAUGCCGGCUAGGGAUCGGGCGGUGUUUAAUUAUAAAGACUCGCCCGGCACCUUGUGAGAAAUCAAAGCUUGUGGGCUUCUGGGGGGAGUAUGGUCGCAAGGCUGAAACUUAAAGGAAUGACGGAAGGCNCCNCCA
rnacentral:rRNA from 1 species